ACUCCUGCGGGAGGCAGCAGUGGGGAAUUUUGGACAAUGGGCGAAAGCCUGAUCCAGCAAUGCCGCGUGAGUGAAGAAGGCCUUCGGGUCGUAAAGCUCUUUUGUCAGGGAAGAAACGGUGAGAGCUAAUAUCUCUUGCUAAUGACGGUACCUGAAGAAUAAGCACCGGCUAACUACGUGCCAGCAGCCGCGGUAAUACGUAGGGUGCAAGCGUUAAUCGGAAUUACUGGGCGUAAAGCGUGCGCAGGCGGUUUUGUAAGUCUGAUGUGAAAUCCCCGGGCUCAACCUGGGAAUUGCAUUGGAGACUGCAAGGCUAGAAUCUGGCAGAGGGGGGUAGAAUUCCACGUGUAGCAGUGAAAUGCGUAGAUAUGUGGAGGAACACCGAGGGCGAAGGCAGCCCCCUGGGUCAAGAUUGACGCUCAUGCACGAAAGCGUGGGGAGCAAACAGGAUUAGAUACCCUAGUAGUCCC
rnacentral:rRNA from 1 species